AAUGGCCUAACGGCUGAACCAGCAACUUGGAAGAAUGUAUAGCAAUAGCUAGUUGCAUCAAUAUAUUAUUGAUACAAUAUCGACUAAGUCGAAUAAAAUUCUAGGUAGAGAUAUGAUAAUGACAUUACUUACCUAUAUGUCUUGACCAAAAUACGUGCCAGCAGUCGCGGUAAUACGUAAAAGGCUAGUGUUAUUCAUCUUUAAAAGGUUUAAAGGGUACCUAGACGGUAAGUAAAGCCUUAAACGGGACUGAUUUACUAGAGUUACUUGUGAGGGAGUUCGAAUGUACUAGAGGUGAAGAGAUAAAAUUCUAUGAUGCCUUUUUUCAAAUAGAAAAGGUUUGGCACAGGUAUAGGUGAAAACAUCUCCUUAUGGGAUAACUGACGUUGAGGGACGAAGGCUUUAUAUCACAAACAGGAUUAGAUACCCUGGUAGCUUAAGCAGAUAAUGAUGAGUGUCAUAGAUUAGAUAAAAAUUUAUUCUAUAAAUGAAAGUGUAAGCACUCCACCUCAAGAGUAACUUGGCAACAUUGGAACUGAAAUCAUUAGACCGUUCCUGAGACCAGUAGUGAAGUAUGUUGUUUAAUUUGAUAAUCCGCAAAAAACCUUACCACAAUUUGAAUAUUUAUGUUUAUAACAUAGAUACAAGUGUUGCACGGCUGUCUUCAGUUAAUGUCGUGAGACUAUGGUUGGCUCCAUUAAAUUAACGUAAACCCUUACUUUAUUUUUAAAUAAAGUAGCUCUCCACUAUAUUGGAUAUGAUAAUAGGGAUUAAGACAAGUCAUCAUGGCCUUAAUGUUGUGGGCUACAGACGUGCUGCGUGAGCCUUUACAAAGGGAUGUGAAAUUGUAAAAUUGAGCUAAUCCUGUAAAAUUGGCUAUAAUGAU
rnacentral:rRNA from 1 species